rnacentral:rRNA from 1 species
GUAACGGGAGGAUGACGUAGCGUUACUCCGGGAUUUACUUGGGUUUAAAGGGUGGCGUAGGGCGGACGUUUUUAAGUCAGCGGUGAAAUUUUGCAGCUUAACUGUAACAGUGCCGUUGAUACUGGGGAGCUAGGAUUUGGUUGCUGUGGGUGGAAUGUGUGGUGUAGCGGUGAAAUGCUUAGAGAUCACACAGAAUAUCGAUUGCGAAGGCAGCUCACAAAGCCAAGAUUGACGCUGAGGCACGAAAGUGUGGGGAUCAAACAGGAUUAGA